UUUGAACGCUGGCGGCAGGCCUAACACAUGCAAGUCGAGCGCGAAAACAUUUCGGUGUGAGUAGAGCGGCGGACGGGUGAGUAAUGCUUGGGAAUCUGCCCAGUAGUGGGGGAUAACGUGUGGAAACGCACGCUAAUACCGCAUACGUCCUACGGGAGAAAGCAGGGGAUCUUCGGACCUUGCGCUAUUAAAUGAGCCCAAGUCAGAUUAGCUAGUUGGUGAGGUAAUGGCUCACCAAGGCGACGAUCUGUAGCUGGUCUGAGAGGAUGAUCAGCCACACUGGGACUGAGACACGGCCCAGACUCCUACGGGAGGCAGCAGUGGGGAAUAUUGCACAAUGGGCGAAAGCCUGAUGCAGCCAUGCCGCGUGUGUGAAGAAGGCUCUAGGGUUGUAAAGCACUUUCAGUGGGGAGGAAAAGUUUAAGAUUAAUACUCUUGAACCUUGACGUUACCUGCAGAAGAAGCACCGGCAAACUCCGUG
rnacentral:rRNA from 1 species